CAUUUACAAAAAAAUAAUUUUUUAAUCUUUUUUUCAAAAAUUUAUAUUUAUUAGAAAAAAAAUUAAGAAAAAAAGAUUCCUUGUAGCGCUCUGAAAAUUAGAAACUUUAAAGAAAAAAAAUAUCAUAGAGCCAGUUGUUUUGUCUCUGAAUAAAUUGUCAUAAAUUAUUAAAAUCAUCUAAUAGAUAAAUAUCUACACACAGACGCGUACAGUUAUUAGAUAAUUUACUACACAGAUUAAUUGAGAGUGAAACAAUUGCUUCUUAGGCUUUCAAAAACAAACAUCACGUCUCGGUAUGACAUAGUACGAACUUUCGGUGAUUAUUAUCUAAAGAUUAUUCGUUGAUUAACGCUGUUAAAGAGAAAGGUUAUCUUGGUGUGUUUAAAUCCGCUAGGUAGAUUAAUCAACCUUUAAAAUUAUAAAAAUGCCAAUCUGAAGAAAACGUCUGCCAUACCCAUAACGUAUCGUUCUUGAAACUCCUUUACUUUCAUAAACCAUGUCCUUUUUUAUUUUUUAAGUAAAUGACACGUGGUUGCCUAGGAACGUCGAGCGUCAUCCCAAACGCGUGCCCGGUCGACAAAUUCCCGCGACGUCAUCGCGUAUCCCACCAAGGUCAGACCGUGACCCUGCGCCACGGCUACGCCACGGCUGAUCCUGAAGAAAAUCCGUUGAUCGAUCACACGGCACAGCGCGCGGAGCGCCGACGCAUUUCGCGCUCCCAGGCGCUCGCUAUCUCGUCGGUUCCAUCGGUUCCAGCACUACGAAGCAAGUUACAGAAGCAAACCGUCCGUUCCCGCAACCUUUGCUAUUUUUAUUACGGCGGAUUGGUCACUCGUGAUUACGCUACACGCAACUCGGAAAUCACCGUUAGGCCGAUCGAAAAUAUACUUCCUUUCUUUUUUUUUUCAACAGACUAAACUAAUGGGAUUUUAAUCGGCCCUCGGGAAAGGUCAUCCUGAUCUCGAAUCAGAAUUGAACCGCAACGCGCCUUUUUUAGUUCGAUGAAAAAUUGAGAGCGGCACGACGAGCAAUGAUAAGGUACAAACUUGUGAUUACUCGGUGUCGAGGAAAUAUAUAUACUUUCAAAUAAAUAGCAUGAUUGCGCGAUUACCGGAGUUCCUCUUAAUUUACGAUUUAUUUGAAAAAAACUCAUGACAACGCAUUUCACUGUUAUACUUUAGCUGCCAGUUGCUUUAUUCCACGUAGCUAAUUUUUAUUUUUGCAAAAACCAUUUAAAUUUUUCUUUCUGAGUUUGCAUGUUAAUACUGGUGUGCUACUUACGAAUUUUAAUUAAGAUCCAUCGCGUUAACAGGAAAGCACAGAUUCUUUUGCAUACGCUUUAUACUUAAAAAGACUUGAUACCAAAUUAUGCUCAUCAGUGUUGUACAUAUGUAUUAAAAGUACAUUAAAAGUUUUAACAUUUUUUAACAAUUGAAAUGGACAAACCAGCGAUCAACAUUAUAAUGAUAAAUAGCAAAAAAAAAUCAAUACCUCCUAAUUUUAUUGUCACAAAAGGGAGAUUUGAGAUUAGGAAAGCUGUGAUAUUUUUCUUGUUGACAUGUUCGCUGUCCAAAUACAUAUUUCUAACACUGCGAUUGAAUAUCGCCUUACAUCCCAAUCAUCGAGAUGCUUUCGCGUCGCUAUCAAUCGGCAGGCUUGCGUACAACUUUCACGUACAUCUCACCGGUAAAUCCACCGCGCGCGAGAGAGGCGAGAUCCCCGCGUAUGUAAGUCCACGCGUCUCAGACUUACCCGCUGUCCCGAUUAGGGGAAAUAAAACCUUUCGACUUACGACUGCGCGGCGUUAUUAUUCCCCGUCGAUUUGCAUCGACGACGACGCGACACGACGCGACGCGACCGUCGGGUGAAGGUCGACGUGACGGUUUGCCGACGGAUACGCGCGGCAUAGAGGUACCCGGUGGUUUCGUGACUGCAUAAGGAAAAGGCGGAGGUAGCUGGCUUUCACCAAAGCCACUUAACCCGAUCCAGUAACAUCCAUCCACCGGGCCCGUCACGCCUGUGACAUUUUCAGUAGUUUAGCAUCGGCCGUAAUAAUCGGGGAACAUCGUGCGUUCGCCCUUGUGUGGCAGAUGAUUACUUUUCGAUCAUCGAGUGACAUUCGGGAGCAGAGGAUCAGAUUGCCCGAAAUACUUGUCUUUAACAAAUUUUCAGACGAACUGAAUAAAUGUACGAAAGUGAAAACUAGAAAUCUUUGAAAAAUUUUAAAUGAGUUACUACAUAACAGAGUGAAUAAAAAUUAAUAAAAUAGCAGUUAUUAUUAACAAAACGUUUAAACUGAAAAUCAAGUUUUUUGUUAGUGACAGCUGCCAUUUUAUUAUUUUUUUUAUUCGAUUUAUUUUAUAGUGGUUUAUCUGUGAUAGCAGCAAACUUCCUGAAGGUUUCUAGUUAAGUUUGCCAUAAUCGGAUUAACGAGCUAUCAUUGCAAAACUGUGAUUUUGAAAAACAGAGUAUAUUUCAGCUAUACAUUUAUGUAAGUGUUUGUUAAUAAGAAAUUUUUCUCUACUCUUUAUACAUUGUAUAAAUGUCCCUUGAAUAACGAGGAUUAAUCGAAUUUGGCUCUACAAGAGUAACAUACAAUAUAAGUUAUAUACGUUUUCUUAUGCUUUUUGGGUUUUAUUACAUGCAGUGGUAAUAUUUUUCUUCAUUUAAACUCAUGCAUAAGUGCUCAAAAUUUAUUUUAAAUUUAUCUUAAAUUUUUCCAUAUCUUACAUUGCGAAAAGAAUAGAAGAAAAAGGGAGAUAGCUGAAA